rnacentral:rRNA from 1 species
UACGAAGGGUGCAAGCGUUACUCGGAAUUACUGGGCGUAAAGCGUGCGUAGGUGGUUUUUUAAGUCCGUUGUGAAAGCCCUGGGCUCAACCUGGGAAUGGCAGUGGAUACUGGAAAGCUAGAGUGCGGUAGAGGGUAGUGGAAUUCCCGGUGUAGCGGUGAAAUGCGCAGAUAUCGGGAGGAACACCGGUGGCGAAGGCGGUUCUCUGGGCCUUACCUGACGCUGAGGAGCGAAAGCGUGGGGAGCGAACAGG